rnacentral:rRNA from 1 species
AUUGAACGCUGGCGGCAGGCCUAACACAUGCAAGUCGAACGGUAACAGGAAACAGCUUGCUGUUUCGCUGACGAGUGGCGGACGGGUGAGUAAUGUCUGGGAAACUGCCUGAUGGAGGGGGAUAACUACUGGAAACGGUAGCUAAUACCGCAUAACGUCGCAAGACCAAAGAGGGGGACCUUCGGGCCUCUUGCCAUCGGAUGUGCCCAGAUGGGAUUAGCUAGUAGGUGGGGUAACGGCUCACCUAGGCGACGAUCCCUAGCUGGUCUGAGAGGAUGACCAGCCACACUGGAACUGAGACACGGUCCAGACUCCUACGGGAGGCAGCAGUGGGGAAUAUUGCACAAUGGGCGCAAGCCUGAUGCAGCCAUGCCGCGUGUAUGAAGAAGGCCUUCGGGUUGUAAAGUACUUUCAGCGGGGAGGAAGGGAGUAAAGUUAAUACCUUUGCUAAUUGACGUUACCCGCAGAAGAAGCACCGGCUAACUCCGUG